GGUCCUGUGGUCUAGUGGUAUGAUUCUCGCUUUGGGUUCAUCACAACUCAAACACUUGCCUGCGAGAGGCCCCGCGUUCGAAUCGCGGCAGGACCC